UACAGAGGGUGCGAGCGUUAAUCGGAAUUACUGGGCGUAAAGCGCACGUAGGUGGCUUGGUAUGUCGGGUGUGAAAUCCCCGGGCUCAACCUGGGAACUGCAUCCGAAACUGCCUUGCUAGAGUAUGGGAGAGGGAAGUGGAAUUUCCGGUGUAGCGGUGAAAUGCGUAGAUAUCAAGAGGAACACCUGAGGUGAAGACGGGUUGCUAGGCUGACACUGACGCUGAGGCGCGAAAGCCAGGGGAGCAAACGGG
rnacentral:rRNA from 1 species